UUUAGGAGCCAAUGAUGUUUUUAUUCAUGUCUGAACCUGUCUGAAGCAUUGCCAUGAUGCAACCUGUUGCUGAGGCUUCUUUGCCA
ensembl:snoRNA